rnacentral:misc_RNA from 1 species
GAUGAAGAACGUAGCGAAAUGCGAUAAGUAAUGUGAAUUGCAGAAUUCAGUGAAUCAUCGAAUCUUUGAACGCACAUUGCGCCCAUUAGUAUUCUAGUGGGCAUGCCUGUUCGAGCGUCAUUUCAACCCUUAAGCCUAGCUUAGUAUUGGGAAUCGACUUUACUGUCGUUCCUCAAAUUCAACGGCGGAUUUAUAGCAAUCUCUGAACGUAGUAAUUUUUUUCCUCGUUUUUGAAAUACUAUAAACCUCAGCCGCUAAACCCCCAAUUUUUCUAUGGUUGACCUCGGAUCAGGUAGGAAUACCCGCUGAACUUAAGCAUAUCAAUAAGCGGAGGA